rnacentral:rRNA from 1 species
UUAUCACGGGAGACACACGGCGGGUGCUAACGUCCGUCGUGAAGAGGGAAACAACCCAGACCGCCAGCUAAGGUCCCAAAGUCAUGGUUAAGUGGGAAACGAUGUGGGAAGGCCCAGACAGCCAGGAUGUUGGCUUAGAAGCAGCCAUCAUUUAAAGAAAGCGUAAUAGCUCACUGGUCGAGUCGGCCUGCGCGGAAGAUGUAACGGGGCUAAACCAUGCACCGAAGCUGCGGCAGCGAACGUAUCACCCAAGACAACUUUACGGAGUUGACGAUUGACGGAGCGAAGCGACGUCAAAGCGUUCAUUAAAGUCGAGUUGGCUUAGGGAUACGUUCGUUGGGUAGGGGAGCGUUCUGUAAGCCUGUGAAGGUGUGUCGUGAGGCAUGCUGGAGGUAUCAGAAGUGCGAAUGCUGACAUAAGUAACGAUAAAGCGGGUGAAAAGCCCGCUCGCCGGAAGACCAAGGGUUCCUGUCCAACGUUAAUCGGGGCAGGGUGAGUCGACCCCUAAGGCGAGGCCGAAAGGCGUAGUCGAUGGGAAACGGGUUAAUAUUCCCGUACUUGGUGUUACUGCGAAGGGGGGACGGAGAAGGCUAUGUUGGCCGGGCGACGGUUGUCCCGGUUUAAGCGUGUAGGUGUGUGUUCCAGGUAAAUCCGGUUCACUUUAACACUGAGGCGUGAUGACGAGGCACUACGGUGCUGAAGCAACAAAUGCCCUGCUUCCAGGAAAAGCCUCUAAGCAUCAGGUAACAUCAAAUCGUACCCCAAACCGACACAGGUGGUCAGGUAGAGAAUACCAAGGCGCUUGAGAGAACUCGGGUGAAGGAACUAGGCAAAAUGGUGCCGUAACUUCGGGAGAAGGCACGCUGACACGUAGGUGAAGUGAUUUACUCACGGAGCUGAAGUCAGUCGAAGAUACCAGCUGGCUGCAACUGUUUAUUAAAAACACAGCACUGUGCAAACACGAAAGUGGACGUAUACGGUGUGACGCCUGCCCGGUGCCGGAAGGUUAAUUGAUGGGGUCAGCGCAAGCGAAGCUCCUGAUCGAAGCCCCGGUAAACGGCGGCCGUAACUAUAACGGUCCUAAGGUAGCGAAAUUCCUUGUCGGGUAAGUUCCGACCUGCACGAAUGGCGUAAUGA